rnacentral:rRNA from 1 species
UUGCGAAAGUAAGACUAAUACCCAAUGACGUCUCUAGAAGACAUCUGAAGGAGAUUAAAGAUUUAUCGGUGAUGGAUGGGGAUGCGUCUGAUUAGCUUGUUGGCGGGGUAACGGCCCACCAAGGCGACGAUCAGUAGGGGUUCUGAGAGGAAGGUCCCCCACAUUGGAACUGAGACACGGUCCAAACUCCUACGGGAGGCAGCAGUGAGGAAUAUUGGUCAAUGGGCGAGAGCCUGAACCAGCCAAGUAGCGUGCAGGAUGACGGCCCUAUGGGUUGUAAACUGCUUUUAUAAGGGAAUAAAGUGGGAGUCGUGACUCUUUUUGCAUGUACCUUAUGAAUAAGGACCGGCUAAUUCCGUG